UCCCGUGUGGCUCAGUUGGUAGAGCAUGGUGUUUGCAACGCCAGGGUUGUGGGUUUGAUUCCAACAGGGGAC
rnacentral:tRNA from 1 species